UACGUAGGUGGCAAGCGUUGUCCGGAUUUACUGGGCGUAAAGAGCGCGCAGGCGGUUCGUCCAAGUCGCGUGUGAAAGCCCCCGGCUCAACUGGGGAGGGUCACGCGAUACUGGUCGACUCGAAGGCAGGAGAGGGUAGUGGAAUUCCCGGUGUAGUGGUGAAAGUGCGUAGAUAUCGUAAGGAAGACCAGUGGCGAAGGCGGGAUCGUCUGGACCAGUUCCGUGACGCUGAGGCACGAAGGUAGG
rnacentral:rRNA from 1 species